rnacentral:rRNA from 1 species
UACGGAGGGUGCGAGCGUUGUCCGGAAUCACUGGGCGUAAAGGGCGCGUAGGCGGCUCAUGAAGGCUGUGGUGAAAGUCCGGGGCUCAACCUCGGAUCGGCCGUGGCGACUCGUGGGCUGGAGCACUGUAGAGGCGGGUGGAAUUCCGGGUGUAGCGGUGGAAUGCGUAGAGAUCCGGAAGAACACCAGUGGCGAAGGCGGCCCGCUGGGCAGUGGCUGACGCUGAGGCGCGACAGCGUGGGGAGCAACAGG